GCAUAUUAUAUUAAUUAAUACAUAUUAUAUUAAUUAAUAUAUUUAUUAAAUAUUUAUUAAAUUAUUUAUAUAAAUAUAUAAAUAAUAAAAUAUAUAAUAUAUAUAAAUAAUAAAAAAUAAGACGAAUAAAUGAAUUCUUUUUGAUUCUGCAUCUUCACGUGACUUAAUAGGAGAGAAAGAUUCAGUUUAUAAGGAAUGAUUAAAAGGAAUGAUUAAAACUAUUUCUCUUUCUAACUUUCGAAUAAAUUUAGAAAGUUCUCUUUUCGACAUCACAUCAUUAUUCAAAGAAAAUUUGAUAGUUAAAAAUAACUUUUGAUCAUCUUAGGAAAAAAGAUAAGUCUUUUUUUUUUAAGUGAAUCAUCAACGAUUUCAAUGAUUUACAUUCAAUGAUUUACAAUAGAUAAAUACACCAAACAACAAAUCCAAUUUUGUUUAUGAGUUAUGAGAUAGAUAAAAAAAGAUUAAUGUCAGGUAAGGUUUGAAUUCUUAUUCUUUUUUUUCAUCUGAUUGAUAAAAUACAAAGAAUGGGGAGGUGUUCGUAUCUAUCAAUUCGAUCAAAUAGACUGAGCAAUUAUCACCCUUUAUAGAUAUUGAAAUGAAUGCCUUCCCAUUACUGAUUAACUCCU
rnacentral:lncRNA from 1 species